rnacentral:rRNA from 1 species
UCGCGGAUCAGCAUGCCGCGGUGAAUACGUUCCCGGGCCUUGUACACACCGCCCGUCACACCAUGGGAGUCGGUAACACCCGAAGCCUGUAGUCUAACCGCAAGGAGGACGCAGUCGAAGGUGGGAUUGAUGACUGGGGUGAAGUCGUAACAAGGUAUC